GACGAACGCUGGCGGCGUGCUUAACACAUGCAAGUCGAACGGAAAGGCCCUGCUUGCAGGGUGCUCGAGUGGCGAACGGGUGAGUAACACGUGGGUGAUCUGCCCCUUAUUUUGGGAUAAGCCUGGGAAACUGGGUCUAAUACUGGAUAGGACCAUGCUGUAGGUGGUGUGGUGGAAAGAUUAGUUUCGGUAAGGGAUGAGCUCGCGGCCUAUCAGCUUGUUGGUGGGGUAAUGGCCUACCAAGGCGUCGACGGGUAGCCGGCCUGAGAGGGUGGACGGCCACAUUGGGACUGAGAUACGGCCCAGACUCCUACGGGAGGCAGCAGUGGGGAAUAGUGCACAAUGGGCGCAAGCCUGAUGCAGCGACGCCGCGUGGGGGAUGACGGCCUUCGGGUUGUAAACUCCUCUCAGCCAUGACGAAGCCCUUGUGGUGACGGUAGUGGUAGAAGAAGCACCGGCUAACUACGUG
rnacentral:rRNA from 1 species